CUCCACUGUUGGGCAGCAGGAGUGUGUGUUAGAGGUGUUCAGUCUGCAGAACGAGCAAGGGAGGGUGAGGGCAGCGUCCCCUCAGCUGUCUGAGGCUCAGGCUGAUGUUAAUCAUUGUGAACUUCCUAAGCUUUACUGGAAUACGAUGAGUGGAAAACUACUAUACGAGGCGAUGCUCACGAUCCUGUUUCCUUGUGCUCGUGGCAGAGUUGGUUUCACAACAGGAGUCACGCAAGGCUGAGGAUGUGGGCAGAGGGGAAUAUUUCCUUCUUGCGCAGUUGUGCUUGACCAAGUUGGAACUAACCAAGUGCAAGUGAGUGUGACUGAUGGCCAGGCAUUUGGAUUUAUGUGUAUGGAGGCAUGCCCAGACACUCAACCAGCCUUUGUGCCAUGUCAUGGAGCUUAUGCAGAGCCUUUAGUCUGAGCUGGAAAGUGCAUGCUCUGAGCAGCUUCUGCAAGGAGUGCAGAGUAUCGGCUGCUUCAGAAGGGUGGGCA